UAACAUUGUAAUGGAUUUUUUGCCAUUUCAAUUUAGUUUUGUUUUUUAGACUGUAUGCAAGAGUGACUUAGCGGGAUGGACCUGCAUUAUUUUCGAGCUCCCUUGCGGUUUACAUUAGUGCGGUCCAAAAGCCGCUAGAGCGUACCGAAUAAUUUUAUUGUUAAAAAAUAGUACUAUAAAAAUGAGGAGGUCCGUAAAGUCGAUUCACUUGAGGAAAUCUUCCACGCCAGACAGCUUUAAAAUAUCACACGCCAGGAAAUAUAGACGCCAGAUAGAAACCAAAGCAUCGCCACUCUAGACCCACUCGUCUCCAAAACCAGACCGCAGAUUUUGGUGGAAGACAACGCACUAGAAAAUGGCCGUAAAAAUCUGGGGUCUGUUGUGUGUUGUUUUGCUGGUCAGUCUCGUGUGUCAAAUUUCCUCGCAUACUAAUCCCAUCACAAACGUCGGCAGGAGAUCCAAGGUGCCGCUUUGGCCGGCUAGGAAUAUGCGAGAGACAAAUAUGUGCGGCGAUUGUCUUAACUACUGCCUGAGAAAACGACCCUGACAAGACGAAGUACAGAAGUAACAUAAACAUGGAUAAAACUGGACUAUUCAAAUGUUUCGGAUUAAAAACUGUAUAAUUGCA